rnacentral:lncRNA from 1 species
GUUAUUGGAGUUCUGGAGAGUGUGCUGGGUUUUGUGCUCAGCUCCGUGUCUUUCAGUUUCUCCUUCCAGCUGCUGCAAUCACAGCAGGUGUGAGUUGGAAGUUAUCUCGGCUGCUUGUGAUUCAGUUAAUUGAUUCCCUCAGCGUUUCUACCAUUUCAGUUAUUUCAUGGCUAGAUCUUCCAGCUUGUCACCCUUUUGUUCCACCUUGGUUCAGGAACGCAAGUGUUGCUACAUCUUGUUUGGAGACAUUACAUCUCCAUAGGGAAGGUCAAGUUGGGAAGAACUUUGAGGAAAAAGUAAAAGAGGGCUCUUAAGUUAAAUCCUUGGGGGUAAAUCCCUCUCUAAGCUUAUAAAACUCCCUAUGAUGCCCCGAGUGGGUGUGAGUCAUACUGAUGGGGCUGUAUGUGAGUUUGCAUUAGGUUUACACAAUCUGUGCAUGUGCUGCAUUCAUAAUAAAGCUGUGUGUGAGCGCUGCUGUCGAC